GGAACCUUCCACAAUGGACGCAAGUCUGAUGGAGCAACGCCGCGUGAGUGAAGAAGAUCUUCGGAUCGUAAAACUCUGUUGUUAGAGAAGAACACGAGUGAGAGUAACUGUUCAUUCGAUGACGGUAUCUAACCAGCAAGUCACGGCUAACUACGUGCCAG
rnacentral:rRNA from 1 species